rnacentral:rRNA from 1 species
AUGGCUCUGCGGGACGCUGGCGUCAGAAGCAGCGGCCGGGGCCACGCGGUGACCCUGGGACGCCGCUGCCCGAUUCUGGCGCGAAGGCAACCUCGCGCGAAUCACGGCGGCCUUGACCAAGAAGGAGGCGUUCGUGCCGCACGGCGGCCGGUGGUGAGCGUCGGUGCUGGCGAGUUUGGGUCAGUACGUCGCGACGGCGGCGAGCCUGCUCGGCGUCCCAUGAUUGGACCUUGGAGCCACGCGAAGAGAAGGGGAUCCACUCCAAACCCAGCACAGGACAUGGUGACGAACUCACUGUUCGAGAAGAGGCCGAACCGGUUAGGCAUCGGCUGCGCGCUACCGCCCAAGAAGGACCUCCACCUGUUCGCCAAUGCCGCAUCCUCAAGCAGCGCAUCCGUGCCCAGCCGCGCAAGCACACAUGCAAGGCUGGCCCCAUGUAUCUUCCUUGGCUGCGGACAUCAUCUACAGGAUAGCAGUAUGACCAAGACAAGCUACAAGCUCCCAGCGCGUCUGAUCCAGGGUGAAUGGCCAUGGUCACGAGCUCCUCAGGAUCAAAAUAGGCCAUCAUCAGCCGCACCAUUAGCCAUUCCCCUGCGUCCCUAUAGCACUGCCGCUACCACCUACCAACACGUCAAUGCCGCGUGCCACAAAGAUGCUACGCCAUCCUCUAUGUCUUGUAGGCCAUCAUCAGUUGCACCAUUAGCCAUUCCCCUGCGUCCCUCCAGCACUGUCGCUACCACCCACAACCAUGUCACCGUCGCGCGCCGUCACCGGAGGCGAGACGCUGCACCAGCAGCGACUCACAUUCGUAGAGGUGCCCCUCACUCAUGGCCCCCCUGCUCGUGGUUGCCUUGCAUCAACCCAAACCCAACAAGGGAGGGGACAGAUCCUCUGACACCGCCAUCAACUGCCUGGGCUUCCCCUGAUGGCUUUCUCCAGCGGCGACAGAGGGAGGAACGGGAGGUGCGGCGGCCCCGACAACUAGGAUUCGAGGGUCCGUCUGAGUCGCCUAACGCUUGGGGCGACGCGGGGGUGGUGUUGUUUUUCUCGAGUCAAACCUCCCAGUCUCCAAAACAAAUAUCUACAGCCAUUCAAUUUAGGACCUGA